rnacentral:rRNA from 1 species
UGGAGAGUUUGAUCCUGGCUCAGAUUGAACGCUGGCGGCAGGCCUAACACAUGCAAGUCGAACGGUAACAGGGAGCAGCUUGCUGCUCUGCUGACGAGUGGCGGACGGGUGAGUAAUGUCUGGGAAACUGCCUGAUGGAGGGGGAUAACUACUGGAAACGGUAGCUAAUACCGCAUAACGUCUWCGGACCAAAGUGGGGGACCUUCGGGCCUCAUGCCAUCAGAUGUGCCCAGAUGGGAUUAGCUAGUAGGUGGGGUAACGGCUCACCUAGGCGACGAUCCCUAGCUGGUCUGAGAGGAUGACCAGCCACACUGGAACUGAGACACGGUCCAGACUCCUACGGGAGGCAGCAGUGGGGAAUAUUGCACAAUGGGCGCAAGCCUGAUGCAGCCAUGCCGCGUGUAUGAAGAAGGCCUUCGGGUUGUAAAGUACUUUCAGCGGGGAGGAAGGUGUUGUGGUUAAUAACCRCAGCRAUUGACGUUACCCGCAGAAGAAGCACCGGCUAACUCCGUGCCAGCAGCCGCGGUA